GACGAACGCUGGCGGCGUGCUUAACACAUGCAAGUCGAGCGGAGCGGCGAACGGGUGAGUAACGCGUGAGUAACUGCCCCCCUCUCUGGGAAAACAGUUGGAAACGGCUGCUAAUACCGGGUAGUGGGGGAUGACUCGCGUCCUAUCAGCUUGUUGGGGGGGUAGUGGCCUACCCAGGCGCCGACGCGUAGCCGGACUGAGAGGGCGACCGGACAAAUUGGGCUGAGAUACGGCCCAAACUCCUACGGGAGGCAGCAGGGGGGAAUAUUGCACGAGGGGGUAAACCCUGAUGCAGCAAGGCCGCGUGCGUGAUGACGGCCUUCGGGUUGUAAACCGCUUUCAGCCAUGACGCGGGAGUUGCAGAAGAAGCACCGGCUAACUACGUGCCAGCAGCCGAGGUAAUUC
rnacentral:rRNA from 1 species